rnacentral:rRNA from 1 species
AGUCGAACGAAGUCUUCGGACUUAGUGGCGGACGGGUGAGUAACACGUGAGAAUCUGCCCUCUGGAGGGGGACAACCGUUGGAAACGGCGGCUAAUACCCCAUAUGCCUUCGGGUGAAACGCUCCGGCGCCAGAGGAGGAGCUCGCGGCCGAUUAGCUAGUUGGUGGGGUAACGGCCUACCAAGGCAGCGAUCGGUAGCUGGUCUGAGAGGACGAGCAGCCACACUGGGACUGAGACACGGCCCAUACUCCUACGGGAGGCAGCAGUGGGGAAUUUUCCGCAAUGGGCGAAAGCCUGACGGAGCCAGACCGCGUGCGGGAAGAAGGCCUUUGGGUUGUAAACCGCUUUUCUCAGGGAAGAAGACAGUGACGGUACCUGAGGAAUCAGCCUCGGCUAACUCCGUGCCAGCAGCCGCGGUAAUACGGAGGAGGCAAGCGUUAUCCGGAAUUAUUGGGCGUAAAGCGUUCGCAGGCGGCCUGACAAGUCUGCUGUCAAAGCCCGCGGCUUAACCGCGGAGAGGCAGUGGAAACUGCCAGGCUAGAGUGCGGUAGGGUAGGGGGAAUUCCCAGUGUAGCGGUGAAAUGCGUAGAGAUUGGGAAGAACACCAGUGGCGAAAGCGCCCUACUGGACCGCAACUGACGCUCAGGGACGAAAGCUAGGGUAGCGAAAGGGAUUAGAUACCCCUGUAGUCCUAGCCGUAAACGAUGGAGACUAGGUGUGGCUCGUAUCGACCCGAGCCGUGCCGUAGCUAACGCGUUAAGUCUCCCGCCUGGGGAGUACGCGCGCAAGCGUGAAACUCAAAGGAAUUGACGGGGGCCCGCACAAGCGGUGGAGGAUGUGGUUUAAUUCGAUGCAACGCGAAGAACCUUACCAGGGCUUGACAUCCGGCGAACCUUUGGGAAACCGAAGGGUGCCUUCGGGAGCGCCGUGACAGGUGGUGCAUGGCUGUCGUCAGCUCGUGUCGUGAGAUGUUGGGUUAAGUCCCGCAACGAGCGCAACCCUCGUCCUUAGUUGCCAGCAUUUAGUUGGGCACUCUAAGGAGACUGCUGGUGACAAACCGGAGGAAGGUGGGGACGACGUCAAGUCAGCAUGCCCCUUAUGCCCUGGGCUACACACGUCCUACAAUGGUCGGGACAACGGGCAGCGAACCCGCGAGGGCGAGCGAAUCCCAGCAAACCCGGUCUCAGUUCAGAUUGCAGGCUGCAACUCGCCUGCAUGAAGGAGGAAUCGCUAGUAAUCGCAGGUCAGCAUACUGCGGUGAAUUCGUUCCCGGGCCUUGUACACACCGCCCGUCACACCAUGGAAGCUGGCCACGCCCGAAGUCGUUACUCUAACCUACGGGAGGAGGGCGCCGAAGGC